rnacentral:lncRNA from 1 species
AGCUGUCCGUGGGACGUGGAGCAGGGCGGUGGGCGCCCAGGGAGGCUGCUGCGGGGAGAAGCAAAGCGUGACUUCUCCGGAGCAGAAAACUGGGAGACUUCUGGAUGGCACUACUCCCGCUGUGUGGACGCGUUGAAUACCAGAAAACAGACCUCCAUUGCUGCUGCUGCAGUGGUCAAUUAGGCUUAUGAAGCACUUCCCAUCGCCGUCAUUUACUUCUGUGAGCCAUGAAGCUCUCCUGACAUCGACAGGAAAGGCAAGGUUGACUAUGAUCCGUCAAACUCUCUGA